GCUCCCAUGGCGUAGUGGUCACUGCGCUCGCCUUGCACGCGGGAGACCCGGGUUCGAUUCCCGGCGGAGUCA
rfam:Asian citrus Psyllid, Diaphorina citri - Florida Strain, whole genome shotgun sequence.